rnacentral:rRNA from 1 species
CGAGGAGCUUGCUCCUCUGACGUUAGCGGCGGACGGGUGAGUAACACGUGGAUAACCUACCUAUAAGACUGGGAUAACUUCGGGAAACCGGAGCUAAUACCGGAUAAUAUAUUGAACCGCAUGGUUCAAUAGUGAAAGACGGUUUUGCUGUCGCUUAUAGAUGGAUCCGCGCCGCAUUAGCUAGUUGGUAAGGUAACGGCUUACCAAGGCAACGAUGCGUAGCCGACCUGAGAGGGUGAUCGGCCACACUGGAACUGAGACACGGUCCAGACUCCUACGGGAGGCAGCAGUAGGGAAUCUUCCGCAAUGGGCGAAAGCUUGACGGAGCAACGCCGCGUGAGUGAUGAAGGUCUUCGGAUCGUAAAACUCUGUUAUUAGGGAAGAACAAAUGUGUAAGUAACUAUGCACGUCUUGACGGUACCUAAUCAGAAAGCCACGGCUAACUACGUGCCAGCAGCCGCGGUAAUACGUAGGUGGCAAGCGUUAUCCGGAAUUAUUGGGCGUAAAGCGCGCGUAGGCGGUUUUUUAAGUCUGAUGUGAAAGCCCACGGCUCAACCGUGGAGGGUCAUUGGAAACUGGAAAACUUGAGUGCAGAAGAGGAAAGUGGAAUUCCAUGUGUAGUGGUGAAAUGCGCAGAGAUAUGGAGGAACACCAGUGGCGAAGGCGACUUUCUGGUCUGUAACUGACGCUGAUGUGCGAA